GACGAACGCUGGCGGCGUGCCUAAUACAUGCAAGUUGAGCGCUGAAGCUUGGUACUUGUACCGUCUGGAUGAGCAGCGAACGGGUGAGUAACGCGUGGGGAAUCUGCCUUUGAGCGGGGGACAACAUGUGGAAACGAAUGCUAAUACCGCAUAAAAACUUUAAACACAAGGUUUAAUGGUGAAAGAUGCAAUUGCAUCACGCAAAGAUGAUCCCUCGUUUUAUUGGCUAGUUGGUGAGGUAAAGGCGCACCAAGGGGAUGAUAGAGCGCCGAACUGACAGGGUGGUUGGCCACACUGGGACUGAGACCCGGCCCAAACUCCCUCUGGAGGCAGCCGUAGGGAAUCUUCGGGAAUCGAUGGAAGUCUGACCGAAAAACGCCGAGGGAGUGAAGAAGGAUUUCGGGUCGUAAAACUCUGUUGGUAGGGAAGAACGUUGGUGGGACUGGAACGCUCAUCAAGUGACGGUAACUAGUAAGAAAGCAACGGCUAACUACGUG
rnacentral:rRNA from 1 species